GACCGAGCCAGCGUCAUAGAAAAGUAUGUAAAAAAAUAGAAGCGCUGUAUAGAAUAUAAUAAUAUGUAUAUAAUAGAAGUUCGCUGUCAUCACCAUUACGUCAGUAAGUUCAUUAACACAGUUAUAUAAUAUAUAUACAGUUAGGUCUGGAAGUAAAUCACAAUGCGUCACUGUUAGCCGUUAAGCUAGCAGAAGGGUAGCAACAUUGCUACGAGCCGCUAAUAAAAGCGGCUAGCAGAACUUUCGAGAAGUUAUCGUUAGCUUGUGGGCGUGACUACGAGAUCACUUGACCUGACCGGAAUGAGCUCGGACGUGACUCCGAUGGAUUCAAGGUCAAACCGCGCCACCCGUGACCCGAAAAGCAACCGGUGCCCCAACCAAGAUUUCAUCUCCCACUGCUACUCACCCAAAGGAGACGCCGCGUGGCCCGGACACAAACAGCAACACACACACAGGCGGUGUGAUGGCGCUGCAGCAGAGAGAGAGAUCUGGGUGACCAUCUGAAACCAAUUAUGGCGGCGCUGCAGCCACCCAGAAACUCAGUGACGGAUGGGGAUCCUGUAUUUAUAGCUGGGGUAAUUGGCAACACUCACACACACACACACACACGCACACAAGUAAGUACAAAGAAAUAGACACUUUUAAAUGUACACACAUCAGGCAGAGUUUGUGUUUACACUCAGUGAUGGACAUGACGCUCACACGUGCACAGGCCUCACAGGCAGGAGGAAAGGUGCACACUCCCUCGGUGCACGUCUGUCUUGCAGGUCAAAAGGGACUCAGCCGGUGCAUGAAUCAAAGAGCGCUGUCAUGGGAAGACGCACAGUGCUCAGGGAUGGCCGCAGAGGCUUGUUUGUGUUUACCCCAUUCCACACACAUACACACACACACACAACAAUGUUUACGUCCGCCGCUGCAGUUCGGGACGGAGGCCGUACACCUCAGCUAUCUGUCUCGGGCCUGUCAGCGUGUCAAACUCGCAUGUGAAAACAUAUACAAAACACAUCUGCCUCUUGUUAGGGCUCCAUAAAUGGCUGCCAUGUGGUCCGCUGAUAAAUAGGCCAGUCUAUUUAUUGGAGCUCAACAAAUUGGCUACAAACACUGACAAGGAAUCGAACUAUAAAUAUUGCGACGUGAUGAAAUCUUUAAACGUGCUGCAGGUAUUUUACGACGUCUCCGCUCCUUUGGCUUUUUAUUUUUAUGCAGUCGGAGGUAUUUCUUUUGACUGCUUUCUUCUUUAACGCAGCGCCUUGUUAAAUAGGUGGUGGGGAGGGUGGAGACAAUGGCCCUCUCACACUAAGCAAGGCCAGGGCUGAGUGUGUG
ensembl:lncRNA